AAACUGUUCAAUUUUGAAGACCAGUUGUAUUUACUAGUGAACAAAGCUAUUGCAAGGAUGGGUCCAAAAAAGAAGCCAAAAAGGAAGCAGUGCUUCAGUUGCGGCCAAUUUGGUCACUAUACGCAGGACUGCCAAAAAGGAGAAAACCAUGACGUGGCUGCAGUGAACUCUGAGCCCGAGGCUGCAACGUCUCCGACUUCACUGAUCUCAGAGAGCCCGUCAAGAGGUGGCCAAACGCCUGGUCAGUGUGUGACUAUGAACACCUCAGCGCAUGGCAAGGCAGGCUGCUCUUCACGUCAGGAAGACGUGCCUGUGCUCUCAUCCUCAACAGAGAAGGAUUUACCAUUGGUGAGUGCUAUGAAUGAUCAAUUACAGCAGCUGUUAUAUUGAUUUAAAUUACAAUUGGACU
rnacentral:lncRNA from 1 species